rnacentral:rRNA from 1 species
ACUCCUACGGGAGGCAGCAGUGGGAAUAUUGCACAAUGGGAAGGCCAUCGAUGCAGCCAUGCCGCGCUGUGUGAAGAGGCCAAUUCGGGCUUGGUUAAAGACACUUUUCAGUAGGGAGGAAGGUAGUGUAGUUAACACCUGCACUAUUUGACGUUACCUACAGAAGAAGCACCGGCUAACUCCGUGCCAGCAGCCGCGGUAAUACGGAGGGUGCGAGCGUUAAUCGGAAUUACUGGGCGUAAAGCGCAUGCAGGCGGCCUGUUAAGUCAGAUGUGAAAGCCC